rnacentral:sRNA from 1 species
GCUGGGCAUGGUGGUGCACGCCUGUAAUCCCAGCCACUUGGGAGGCUGAAACAGGAGGAUCUCAAGUUCAAGACCAGCCUCAGUAAAUUAGCAAGGCUCUAAGCAACUUAGUGAAACCCUGUCUCAA